AUAUAUGUACAUAUACAGAUAUACUAGAUCUCAACUAUUCCCAUUGAUAAUUGAAAAAAAAGACUCUUCUAAAAGGAGUGAUAAAGUAAAUGAAUGCAUUGUAAAUGUUGCAUUGUGCUGUACAUGUACAUGAAUACAGUGUACACAGGUAUGUGUACUACAGAAAUAUAUCAAGAGACCCUCAUGUUCCCGUGGCAGAGCCUUGAUCACAGUGAGUACAGCAGCCUUUAAUUUAUUAUGGCUUAUAAAAUAUAAAGCGUUUCCUUCUCUGGAGGCUCUUACUUAUAAAAAUUAAAUCUCGUCCCCAAAUUUUCCCCUAAAGAAAGGCCGAAGAACCCCCUGCUGAGUCUUCAUCUGCACGGUCAGUCCUUCACGCCACAUUUCCUGGUGGCUAAAUGUUGAAGAAGGGGCUUCUGCGGCUGACCCCGCGAAAGUGAAGGAGCGGCUUCUCCUCCACCUUCUGCCUUCACCAUCAGCUGUGGCUCUUUUAUCUCCAUCUGCUUCUGUGAGCAUCCCUGGGCUCUGAUCUCCGUGUGCAGAGGGUUUCAUUAGCGGGAGAUUUCUUUUUCUGAUCAGCGUGGAGGAACGGAGCUCUCGCAGUCACCGUCAUCAAAAAGGUGUUUGAAAAUGACCGUGUCCUUCCAGGCUUGGCAGCAAACUAAUGGAGACAUUAUUGAGUGUGAUGGAUUCUCAUUAUGACACACCAGUGCAAUAACAACCUGACAUUUAUUGUCAUAAACUCCCACAGAGGGAGAGCCUCUGAAUUUAUUCCCCACUAAUGAACUCAUACACUUUAUUUUUUGCUUUGUCUUCACAUCGGCUCGGAAAUCAAUAGAGGAUUUUGAUGAAACCUAAUGACUUCAUCAAUAAACUAUUAAAAAGAGAAAUUAAAUGUGCUGUUUGAGGCAUUUUACAGACCCAGCACACAAGAAAGAUGAAAUCAUUAUUGUAAAAUACCCGUAGAGGUGCAUCCAUCGUGAUUGGUGGAUCAUGACCGUGGGAACCAUCAGGAAUAUCUCACUGAAUUGGGGAUUUGUCAUCCACCCAGAAGAGCUGGCUCCACAUCCUACACAGCCCACGCUGGUUGUUCAUCAUUCCCAGCCACCGAGUGCUGAUCCAGGCAGGAAUACAAGGAAAAGGAAAAGGUCAACCUCUGGGUUGUGGACUGUUUGUGGGACCCAUAGACCUGUGCAUCCAUUGCGGAGGGCUUGUCCUAGCCAUUGGGAAGGAGACUUCUCUUGUCCAUCUGCCGAGGACAACGGCUCCACCACAGUUCUGAUGCUGAACUGUUGAUGCUGGAUUCUACAAAGCUGCGUCAAGGUGAUUAACAUCAAGAUGAUUAACAUCCAUCAACCCUGUGAUGCACAACUAUGGUCAGCGGUUCAAAUCUCGUCCCAAGAAGUUGCAUUUAUCACCGACAUGUCUUCACGGUCAGACCCAGGUCUCAUUGACCGGAGGACGCCGUCUUUGUUUCCGGCUGCUCUCCUGGGAAUUUCCGCAGGAUUAAAUCAGUCGUUCCAGACAUGAGACCCCGUCAACAGAGCAGGAGCCAGGUACUGGUCUCACUCUGGGACCAUCUGAGGGUUCUCUGAGGUCAGCUGUGUCAUUAAGUUUAUUCAGUGAAAGCCUCCUCGGUCUUUUCACUGAGUUAAAGCCACAUCAACUCCUUGAAGCUCACCAUUAAACUGCGAUGGCCCAGAACCUCCAGGUCUCCACAUAAAAACCUCAAAGAACUAAGAACCUGUAAGAGUGAUGGGCAUCAUCAUCGGCCCCGGUGCUCAACUCCGAGCUGAAAAUAUCUCUCGAACACAGAGAGAGCUGCGACUCGAGAGAUGUUAGACAUCGGCGUUAAACGCUCACACGAUCUCAUUCAAAUGAAUGACCAUUUCUGCAGGGUGUGAAUGCAUUCAAAUGUCCCAGUGGAUCCAUUUGGAGGUAGAUGUUCGAUUUUAGUGGUGUAGCGAGAGAGCAGUUCACUGAAUAUAUACAUGAAGUGUUUUCAUAACUCCAUGUUUUUAUUGUUAUUCCUUUCUCUGGUUCAAAGGGCCACAGAUGAAAAAGAUGAAAAAGACAAUUUUACAUUUUCUGCUAAAAUAUUUUUUUUUAAAUAAGUAUUAAAAAUGUGUCAAAGGUAUAUGUGAGGAUGCCAAGGUUAUUUAAUAGAAUUAAAUUAUACUUUAUUUUUUUAUAUAUUUCUACAUUUCAUAUAUUUAUAAUUCUCAAACUUCUUCCUGUUGAUCCUGCCUUUUGUAGGUUGGACUAUACGUCUACUGGGUCCUAAGUGUCACCGGUGGUACGCCGACCAUAGUUUGAGAACCACUGCCCCGGGGGAAAAGACUGGCAAAAAAAGCUAAUGAACGUCUUGGAUCUUUUCCACUGUGUCAGUGAUACGGCAGCGGUGAUCACCUGGCAUUAACCCAUUAGCGGUGACAUCUCCUGAGGCUGCAGUGUAUUUUGGUGGGUGAACGGUGACAAAGAGAAAGUGCUGAGGAAAAAAAAGCUCUAAUCCUCUGACGCCCACUGAACGCAGCAGAUGACCAACAUGUGGGUGUGAAGUGGUGAUUAGUCGUCAGAUUACAGCAGGUCAGCGUGGAGUAGACUACAGAUGGCUGCGGCUGCACGGGUGAAGGACUCUGUGUAUGUGUGUGCACGUAACUGCUGUGGUAGGUGGGCGGAGGAGAGAAAGGGAGAUGUGUGUGUGUCUGUCUGUGUGUGUCUAUAUUUGAAGAGUGAAGGUGCAGCCGUGCGUCUUUGCAUGUGCACGUGCUGCAGGAACAUUGUUCCACGCCACAAUGCCGUCCGUGCCUUUGACAUUCCCGCUCCACCUGUCAGUGCACACAAAGGCCUCCGUGUCCUGCCCAGAUCUUUGACGUGUGUGCGUCUGUGCUGCUGGAGCCCAGAGAUAGCAGCGUUGGUCUGUGUGAGUGAAGGACAGGCGUAGGUGGAGAGGAGUCCGAGUCCGAGUCCGAGCCAACCCUCCUUCAUCUCCCCUCCGUCAAACUCCGGGGUGUUCACAGAUCGAUACGUGAUCGUCGAUAAUACAGAAUCAAUGACUGAACGACGUGACGUCUUCUCGGUGUGUGAUUGAUCCAGAGGCCGUGUGAGAGUGAGCCGCUCGGUCAUAUCACUCUUCUUCUCUGUAUCUACGUGUGACAGGAGCUGCCAUUAAAUGGUUAUGGCUUUGACCUCCGCUCUUUGUUUCCCCAUCAGAACAAACGCUGGGAUUAUUUUUAUCACCGGCCUGAAACAACAUCCAUGUCUCCAUGUUGUCAGACCUCGCCUUAAUUUCAAAUUAAACUGAUUCUUUUAGGUUUUAGUGCCACAUAUUUAUGGUUCAUUUCAUUAAAA